AGGGUGAGAGCUGGGCAACGUGACUGAAACAGUCUACUGAGAGAAGGGAGGCGAGAGGGGAGGAUUUAGGUGAGACAGUCGAGGUAACAGCCCCGGUACUGAAUGGUAUUGGGAUGCCGAAGCUUCUGUAGGAACCGCACCUCCUUGAUGAUGUCCUGCCAUUUCUGAGAGAAGCCCUAUACAACAAAAAGGAAAGGAGCGUUAUCACCAUUUCACGGAUGAGAUCGCUGAGGCACAGAAAGAAAGGACUUCUCCAAGGCCAGCGAACAGGCUCUUCUCUCCAGUCAGGCCUAUGUACUUAUUUACUCUCUCAAAAACUCACCCCAGCUCAGUCCCCUCCUGCAGGAAGCCUCCCUGACUACCUCAGCUCUUGGGGAGAGCUUCUAGAGUCCACAGUCAAAAAAAUAUCGAAAACUCCAGCAAUACAUCAGUCAAGACCCCCAGCCCCCAGGGGAUUCUAGGUCAGUCGCCUGGAUAAGCACUUGCUGGAAUUUAGGUACAAAGGAGUUUUCAGUGGCACUGGACUCCCAGGGCAGAGUUCUAGCUCCUUAAAAGCACCUAACAAUUUAGCAUGUAAUUAUAUUCUGUUGUGCAUUGUUUCCU